UCAGGGACUGUGUCUGUAAACACGAUGUUUAACUAAGAAAACUUACGUACUUCUUUAUGUUCUGUAAUCUGGAAGAACUUAAGAAGCACUCAAAUGAUAUGGAAUUUCAAAUACAUAUCACAAUAAUUACAUUUUUUCUCAUAAAAUAUUUAAUACAAAUAUAUUUCACUGGUCAUGUGAUAAGUGUCCACCAAUGAGAGAGUAGUAUUCUAACGGCCUCGCAUGAAACGUACUCUUGAUAUGAGUAGCCAUUGUUGCCCUAAAGGGGACUGUUUUAUAAAGAAAAUCUGUUUUAAUUAUGGAAGCGGAAGGCCAUCCUACCAUGUUGGGAAGUAAAAAGUCUACACGAAACGUCUCAAAAGGGUACUAUAACGUUAUUUUCAAAUUAUAUUAACUCAUAAAGUAUGUUUGCGCCGAUUAUAGAAUGGCUGUACGAUUUCAAGGACAGGUAUCUCGGUUUCAACUUUUACUACCGGAGAUGCCGUACUGAUAUAAAUGUAGAAAUAGAAGGAUUUGUGCAGGAUAAGGUUUAAGAAAUAAAAAUGUAGGUGAAUAUUUGAUGAGAGCAGCAGUUAUUCUAAUUAUAAUGAAAGGAACUUUUAGGUUGAUCCUGUUGUGUUCCCCCCUGAAGUUUUGUCACUCAUAGCUUUUGAAAUUUCAAAGUUACAACUGAUGUACAUUUAUAAAUUACUAAGACUUAAAUGAAUACUAAUUUGUGAAAUGAGGUAAGUUAAAUAACGGUCUUUUAAACUUAAUAUAAAGGCUAUUUGUUGAAAUAUGUAGUUUUUCAGUAGAUUUGAUAAGUAAUUUUUUUGUACAUAACUAAAAGUAUGUGAAAAGCUUUUAUGUAAGAAAUCAACACAAAAUAUAAAUAUGUGAACAAUAAUUGUAUUAACUCUUUGCUUUCAAAUAAAUCUCUCUUUUUUAAUCAAGCUUGUGGAGAAUGUUUAUUUGCAUUUUUUUUGAGAGGAAUACACAAUACAAAUUUUUUAAUGUUUAUUUGCUAAUGAGUAGCAAUUAUUGCUAUUGAUGCAUAGAAAUUUGUAUCAUUAUUAUCAUCGUAUUCCAAAUUUGACAAAUCAUGGAGGCACACAGUGAAUAUUUCUACAUACAUCAGGAAUUGAUUAUGUUAACCAUCAAGUAUCAACAUUUCUGUAUAAAAUUUAUUUUGUAUUAAAA